rnacentral:rRNA from 1 species
AGCUCCUUAUGGAGCGAAGUCUUUGAUUCCCCGCUGCCAAGAAAAGCUUCUAGCGAGAUAAAAGGUGCCUGUACCGCAAACCGACACAGGUAGGCGAGGAGAGAAUCCUAAGGUGUGCGAGAGAACUCUGGUUAAGGAACUCGGCAAAAUGACCCCGUAACUUCGGGAGAAGGGGUGCUUUCUUAACGGAAAGCCGCAGUGAAUAGGCCCAAGCGACUGUUUAGCAAAAACACAGCUCUCUGCGAAGCCGUAAGGCGAAGUAUAGGGGGUGACACCUGCCCGGUGCUGGAAGGUUAAGGAGAGGGGUUAGCGUAAGCGAAGCUCUGAACUGAAGCCCCAGUAAACGGCGGCCGUAACUAUAACGGUCCUAAGGUAGCGAAAUUCCUUGUCGGGUAAGUUCCGACCCGCACGAAAGGUGUAACGAUUUGGGCACUGUCUCAACCAGAGACUCGGUGAAAUUAUAGUACCUGUGAAGAUGCAGGUUACCCGCGACAGGACGGAAAGACCCCGUGGAGCUUUACUGUAGCCUGAUAUUGAAUUUUGGUACAGUUUGUACAGGAUAGGCGGGAGCCAUUGAAACCGGAGCGCUAGCUUCGGUGGAGGCGCUGGUGGGAUACCGCCCUGACUGUAUUGAAAUUCUAACCUACGGGUCUUAUCGACCCGGGAGACAGUGUCAGGUGGGCAGUUUGACUGGGGCGGUCGCCUCCUAAAGUGUAACGGAGGCGCCCAAAGGUUCCCUCAGAAUGGUUGGAAAUCAUUCGUAGAGUGCAAAGGCAUAAGGGAGCUUGACUGCGAGACCUACAAGUCGAGCAGGGACGAAAGUCGGGCUUAGUGAUCCGGUGGUUCCGCAUGGAAGGGCCAUCGCUCAACGGAUAAAAGCUACCCCGGGGAUAACAGGCUUAUCUCCCCCAAGAGUCCACAUCGACGGGGAGGUUUGGCACCUCGAUGUCGGCUCAUCGCAUCCUGGGGCUGUAGUCGGUCCCAAGGGUUGGGCUGUUCGCCCAUUAAAGCGGUACGCGAGCUGGGUUCAGAACGUCGUGAGACAGUUCGGUCCCUAUCCGUCGUGGGCGUAGGAAAUUUGAGAGGAGCUGUCCUUAGUACGAGAGGACCGGGAUGGACGCACCGCUGGUGUACCAGUUGUUCUGCCAAGGGCAUAGCUGGGUAGCUAUGUGCGGAAGGGAUAAGUGCUGAAAGCAUCUAAGCAUGAAGCCCCCCUCAAGAUGAGAUUUCC